rnacentral:rRNA from 1 species
AUGAUCAACGAUUCCGCAAGCGGCAGUGGGAAUUCGAAGAAACAGAGAAGGAAGAAGAGGAGGAGGUCCCUGGUGAGGGCUGCGGUGGAGACUGGCUGGAUGCCCUCAGAUGCCGAUGUCCGCGUCCGUGUAGAAGAUGCCUCGCCCAUGCCGCUCAAUUUUGUUCAACACGGCGUCCAUGUCCUUGGCGGUUGCCCAAGUUCAGGAACAGGAUGCAUGUGUGGCAAUAAGCUCAGCUGCUGCCCAAACAAUGGUGUGCAUGUCCUUAGUACAGGGAGCUUGCCCAUCUUGGCCGGUGAAGAGGUACUGCCCGAGGACGCUGAGACCCAGGACGGCAAUGAGGUGCUGCCCGAGGACGCCGAGACCGACGGCGGAGAGGUGCUGCCCGAGGGCGCCGAUGCCGAUGGCGGACACAUGUUGCCCGAGGACACCGAGACCGGCGACGACGUAGACGUGCUGCUUGAGGACGCCCAGACCGACGAUGGCAUAGAGUUGCUGCCCGAGGAUGCCCAGACCGACGACGGUGUUGAGUUGCUGCUCCAGGACGCCCAGACCGACGAUGGCAUAGAGUUGCUGCCCGAGGACGCCCAGACCGACGACGGCGUCGAGUUGCUGCUCCAGGACGCCCAGACCGACGAUGGCGUAGAGUUGCUUCCUGAAGACGGUGAAGCGGCACUGCCGGAGGAUGCUGACAGUGAUGUAUCUUUCGUGCCUGACUCUAUGCCCGCUCACGGUGGCGACUCGCUCGAUGAAUCGACGAUGGAGGAACCAGUACAUGUAUGCAUGAAGCAGUACAACCAUGCAUGA